AUAAACUCCGAGAUGGGAGUCCCAGAAGGGAAUGGAAAGGUUGGGUCGGGGAAAAGGAAAGGAAGGAGAUUCCCACCAGUUUGAGCAAUUAACCGGGCGGACGCAUCCCCCUAUCUGUGGACCAACGUAUCGCUUUCGAACCCUCGGUGGGCGAGCGGCUAUUUACACAAGAAUAACGCGCUUUAUGGGAUUACGUCAAAACACGGAGGUUAGGAAUCAUGGGCGCAACGAUCGCACAAUGAAACGUAGAAAUAAAGAAGAAAACCGUGAAGGGAUCGAUAAGAGGCGGUAGAGGGGGGGAGGGUUUAGUUUAGCGGAAAGGGCGAGGGUAGAGAGGGAGAAGGUGGAGGCAGCG